rnacentral:rRNA from 1 species
GACGAACGCUGGCGCCGUGCUUAACACAUGCAAGUCGAACGGAAAGGCCCUGCUUUUGUGGGGUGCUCGAGUGGCGAACGGGUGAGUAACACGUGAGUAACCUGCCCUUGACUUUGGGAUAACUUCAGGAAACUGGGGCUAAUACCGGAUAGGAGCUCCUGCUGCAUGGUGGGGGUUGGAAAGUUUCGGCGGUUGGGGAUGGACUCGCGGCUUAUCAGCUUGUUGGUGGGGUAGUGGCUUACCAAGGCUUUGACGGGUAGCCGGCCUGAGAGGGUGACCGGCCACAUUGGGACUGAGAUACGGCCCAGACUCCUACGGGAGGCAGCAGUGGGGAAUAUUGCACAAUGGGCGGAAGCCUGAUGCAGCAACGCCGCGUGCGGGAUGACAGCCUUCGGGUUGUAAACCGCUUUCGCCUGUGACGAAGCGUGAGUGACGGUAAUGGGUAAAGAAGCACCGGCUAACUACGUG